UGGGGAAUUUUGGACAAUGGGCGAAANCCUGAUCCAGCAAUGCCGCGUGUGUGAAGAAGGCCUUCGGGUUGUAAAGCACUUUUGUCCGGAAAGAAAUCCUUGGCUCUAAUACAGUCGGGGGGAUGACGGUACCGGAAGAAUAAGCACCGGCUAACUACGUGCCAGCAGCCGCGGUAAUACGUAGGGUGCAAGCGUUAAUCGGAAUUACUGGGCGUAAAGCGUGCGCAGGCGGUUUGCUAAGACCGAUNUGAAAUCCCGGGCUCAACUGGGAACUGCAUUGGUGACUGGCAGGCUAGAGUAUGGCAGAGGGGGGUAGAAUUCCACGUGUAGCAGUGAAAUGCGUAGAGAUGUGGAGGAAUACCGAUGGCGAAGGCAGCCCCCUGGGCCAAUACUGACGCUCAUGCACG
rnacentral:rRNA from 1 species